GAGACACCAGGCAUGGUGGAAUAAUAAGAACAGCAAUUGUUUAUUGAGUGUGUGCUGGGUGCCCGGUACUGUGUUGAAUGUUGAUGCACAUUGCUUCUUAAUCCUCAAAAAGUAUCGUGUCCAUUUUAUGAUGGGGACACUGAGACCUGGAGAGAUAAAAAAGAAGGGUCAGGCACAUGGAGAUGACCCAGUAAAUAACUGUAGAAUAAUUCCAUUCCUGUUGCCUGGUGAUACCACAACACUCUAUACACCAUAUAGUGUGUGGAGACAUAUAAUUGGAGUAGGUAUUUUGAAGCUAAAAAAUUUUAUCAUUUGACCCUAGGCUUCCAGCUCCUGAGAAGCCACAUGCAGAGGAAGGCACAUCACCUAGAGAUGCUGAAAUGGAGACAGAUGGAGCCCCUUGGAUGUCAAGGUUGGAGUAUUUGCAUACAGUGGAAGAUCAAGAAACACUUGAAGAUGAAUUGCCACACCUGGACACAAACCCCCACCCCCUCUGAGCCUCACCCUCACCUCCUGAGGCUACAAGUACAGAAUGACAAUGAGAAAUCUGAAAUGUGCUUUAAGAUGCAUAGCAAAUGGAACUGGACAGCAGGUGGGGUCAGAUCUGCUAGAAAGCAUAGGGUUGUUUUGCCUAAAUUUUCAGAGAUAUUUUUAUUGGCUGCUGGGGCUCUAGAUUGAAGGACCUACGGAACUUUAUACAAGCUAAUUCAUAAAUGAAUUCUAUAUUUAUGCUAACGUAAUAUUAGGAUGUAUCACACUAAUUGACAGGAGACACUGCCUAAACUUAGUUUUUAGAAGUCAUUCGAUCCCAAGAGCAAAAUAUUUUUUAACAAAAUUGAUAAUUGCACAAUUACUUGUUGAACAUUUCAAAAUUUACAUGUGUAUAUAUUAUAUGUAUGUUAUCGAUGGGCAGACGUAGCUAUAUAUACAUCAAAAUGUAAAGGGCACUUAACCUAGACAAUGAGAUGUUCAUUGCAACACUAGCAUUCUUUGGAAAAGUAUUUACAUGAAUUUACAAAUGCCCUGGACCUCUCUUGAUCCAAAAACAGGUCCAGGGGAAAAUAGAAGCUUCGUAUUUUGAAAAAUGCAUGGAACUCGGGCUGAUAAAAAACCUUUCAUGCAUUCAUGAAUGCUAACUAGGAAGAUAAUUGGGAACAUUCCAGAUGUUUAUUCCUCUCUCGCCCUCUCUCUUUCUUUGCCCCCCUCCUUUGGGUGCUCCUAGAUAACCAAGAUGGAACUUGGAAACCUCUUUUCUGAAGCUGUCCCAUUGUAUAUGGUAAGUUACAGUGAACUCAAGACUGAUCCCUCCACAAAAGUCCUUUGUCUGGGGACUGCCUCUAUAAACUGGGACUCAGUGAAUUAUGCUCCUUCUAGGAAGCUUUCUUUAGCUGAUUAUAUUUACCUAAGCAAGCAUUAUUUUCUGUCUUGUUUCCUUCUUUUUCUCAAGCAUGAUUCAGAUCUCAGGAAAACAUGAAGAAGAUAAGGAAAUGGCCAUUUAAACAACAAGGUAUUUCUGGCUUUGCUUCUCUACUUUGGAAACGAUCGAGGUGUUUUUGUAACAAGCACGUGCCAGUUUUUGGAAAAUGUUAUUUUUCAAUAGAAUCCGCCCCCCUCGAGGUCCUGGGACUGUAGGCUACAAAAGGCAUGAAACAUCCUGAUUUUGACAUGUUUUUCUUCUCUGUUGUUUCUGUUCACUUCUGGUUUAAUUUAGUUUUAUUUCAGUAGUUGGGGGGUAGGCGAAAGAGAGAUGAAACCAGCCGUUUCCUAUUCGUUUUAAUUCUAGAAUAAGAUCUUUAUUAUUUUUUAAAUGAGAUGGUGAGGGGAAUGGUUUAAGGGCAAAAUUACAAAGAUUUGCAUGCAGGGUCCUCUCUUUAAAGAAAACUGGUGGGACCUUUAAGAAAAAAAACUGAGCCACAUAAAAUGAGAGCAGUAAAGGGCGAAUGGCAAUAAAGGGACAUGGGGAUGUGUGUGUGUCCUGUGA
ensembl:lncRNA